rnacentral:rRNA from 1 species
UGCCCAUCAGCUAGCCCCCCCCACGAAAACUAACACACCCCUAUCAAUACCCCCUAAUACCCUGACGUAUAACCAAACAAAUCAUUUUUCCCCCUAAGUAUGGGCGACAGAAAAGGAACCACGGAGCAACAGAGAAAGUACCGCAAGGGAACGCUGAAAGAGAAGUGAAACAACCCAGUAAAGCCUAAAAAAGCAGAGAUUUAAACUCGUACCUUUUGCAUCAUGAUUUAGCCAGUAACCCCAAGCAAAGAGGACUUUAGUUUGGCCCCCCGAAACUAAGUGAGCUACUCCAGGUCAGCCUAUUAUAGGGCAAACCCGUCUCUGUGGCAAAAGAGUGGGAAGAACUUUGAGUAGAGGUGAUAAAUCUACCGAACUUAGUUAUAGCUGGUUGUCUGAGAAAUGGAUAGAAGUUCAGCCUCCCGGCUUCUUACUUCAGAUUUCGUAUAUUACCCUGAUUAGAUUUCCAAAGAAACCGAGAGAGUUAAUCUUAGGGGGUACAGCCCCUCAGAUAAAGGACACAACCUUAACAGGUGGGUAAAGAUCAUAUUUAACCUAAGGUAAAGCACCCCGGUGGGCUUAAAAGCAGCCACCCAAUUAGAAAGCGUUAAAGCUCAGGUACACCAAACCUUCCAUCGAUCCCGAUAACACAAUCUCAACCCCCUUCUAAUAUCAGACUAUCCACUGCAAACAGUGGAGAAAUAAUGCUAAUAUGAGUAAUAAGAGAGUACAAGACUCUCUCCCUGCACAAGUGUAACUCGGAACGGACUAACCGCCGAAUUUUAACGCCCCCAAACAAAGAGGGAAAUGGAUUACAAGCAAAUUAACUAGAAAAACGUCCAAAGCAAUUAGCGUUAACCCCACACUGGAGUGCUUUUAAGGAAAGACUAAAAGGGAAGGAAGGAACUCGGCAAACACUUUAAGCCUCGCCUGUUUACCAAAAACAUCGCCUCUUGCAAAAUCAACGAAUAAGAGGUCCCGCCUGCCCUGUGACUAUAUGUUUAACGGCCGCGGUAUUUUAACCGUGCGAAGGUAGCGCAAUCACUUGUCUUUUAAAUGGAGACCUGUAUGAAUGGCAUCACGAGGGCUUAGCUGUCUCCCCUCCCCAGUCAAUGAAAUUGGUCUCCCCGUGCAGAAGCGGGGAUAAAAACAUAAGACGAGAAGACCCUAUGGAGCUUUAGACGUCAGAGCAGCUCAUGUUAAGCACCCCCAAACAAAGGGACAAACCAAAUGUAGACCUGCUUUUAUGUCUUUGGUUGGGGCGACCGCGGGGAAAUAUAAAACCCCCAUGUGGAAUGGGAGCACACACUCCUAAACCCAAGAGCUCCCGCUCUAAUAAACAGAAAUUCUGACCAACAAGAUCCGGCACAUGCCGAUCAACGGACCGAGUUACCCUAGGGAUAACAGCGCAAUCCCCUUAAAGAGCCCUUAUCGACAAGGGGGUUUACGACCUCGAUGUUGGAUCAGGACAUCCUAAUGGUGCAGCCGCUAUUAAGGGUUCGUUUGUUCAACGAUUAAAGUCCUACGUGAUCUGAGUUCAGACCGGAGUAAUCCAGGUCAGUUUCUAUCUAUGAAAGUGACCUUUUCUAGUACGAAAGGACCGAAAAGAGAAGGCCUCUACCCAAGGCAUGCCUUACCCCUACCUGCUGAAGACAACUAAAGCAGGCAAAAGGGCACACCCCACUGCCUGAGAGAACGGCUA